rnacentral:rRNA from 1 species
CCCUUAGAUGUUCUGGGCUGCACGCGCGCUACACUGAAGCGUUCAACGAGUAUUUCACCUUGCCCGGGAGGGUUGGGUAAUCUUUUUAAAACGCUUCGUGAUGGGGAUAGAUUAUUGCAAUUAUUAAUCUUCAACGAGGAAUUCCUAGUAAGCGCGAGUCAUCAGCUCGUGCUGAUUACGUCCCUGCCCUUUGUACACACCGCCCGUCACUCCUACCGAUUGAGUGAUCCGGUGAAUAAUUCGGACUGCAGCAGUGCUUGGUCCUCCGGGCUUUGCAGUGGAAAGUUUAGUGAACCUUAUCACUUAGAGGAAGGAGAAGUCGUAACA